CCUCUACGUUGAAUCCAACGAAUGGUCUCUACAUUUCCAAAGGACAUAUUUUAGUUUCUUCUAUGCCCUGAAGGUUAAAGCAGAUAUUCGGCAGAAUCCAUC
rnacentral:lncRNA from 1 species